rnacentral:rRNA from 1 species
CACGUAGGGGGCGAGCGUUGUCCGGAUUUAUUGGGCGUAAAGAGCUCGUAGGCGGCUAAGUAAGUCAGGUGUGAAAACUCCAGGCUCAACCUGGAGACGCCACCUGAUACUGCUUUGGCUAGAGUCCGGUAGGGGAGCAUGGAAUUCCUGGUGUAGCGGUGAAAUGCGCAGAUAUCAGGAGGAACACCAGUGGCGAAGGCGGUGCUCUGGGCCGGAACUGACGCUGAGGAGCGAAAGCGUGGGGAGCAAACAGG